GACGAACGCUGGCGGCGUGCCUAACACAUGCAAGUCGAACGGAACUGUUUUGAAAGAUUUCUUCGGAAUGAAUUUGAUUUAGUUUAGUGGCGGACGGGUGAGUAACGCGUGAGUAACCUGCCUUCAAGAGGGGGAUAACAUUCUGAAAAGAAUGCUAAUACCGCAUGACAUAUCGGAAUCACAUGAUUUUGAUAUCAAAGAUUUUAUCGCUUGAAGAUGGACUCGCGUCCGAUUAGUUAGUUGGUGAGGUAACGGCUCACCAAGACCGCGAUCGGUAGCCGGACUGAGAGGUUGAACGGCCACAUUGGGACUGAGACACGGCCCAGACUCCUACGGGAGGCAGCAGUGGGGGAUAUUGCGCAAUGGGGGCAACCCUGACGCAGCAACGCCGCGUGAAGGAUGAAGGUUUUCGGAUUGUAAACUUCUUUUAUUAAGGACGAAAAUUGACGGUACUAA
rnacentral:rRNA from 1 species